rnacentral:rRNA from 1 species
CCUACGGGCGGCAGCAGUGAGGAAUAUUGGUCAAUGGACGAGAGUCUGAACCAGCCAAGUAGCGUGAAGGAUGACUGCCCUAUGGGUUGUAAACUUCUUUUAUAAAGGAAUAAAACGAGGCACGUGUGCCUUUUUGCAUGUACUUUAUGAAUAAGGAUCGGCUAACUCCGUGCCAGCAGCCGCGGUAAUACGGAGGAACCGAGCGUUAUACGGAUUGAUUGGGUUUAAAGGGAGCGUAGAUGGGUUUUUAAGUCAGUUGUGAAAGUUUGCGGCUCAACCGUAAAAUUGCAAUUGAUACUGGCAGUCUUGAGUACAGUUGAGGUAGGCGGAAUUCGUGGUGUAGCGGUGAAAUGCUUAGAUAUCACGAAGAACCCCGAUUGCGAAGGCAGCUUACUAAACUGUGACUGACAUUGAUGCUCGAAAGUGUGGGUAUCAAACAGGAUUAGAUACCCGAGUAGUC